AUUUCGGCUCUCGACUCUUCGCGGUGCAGUCAUGGUAAUUCGACAGAACCGGGUUGAGUUUUGCUGCUGGCUCAGUGUAGCUGUACUAUUCUCACUAUUGGUGUGAGACUCCUUGAUUGUGCUGAGUGGCAAAAGUGGUGGUCUCUUGUGUGCCGCUUUCCCUUGUUUGCUUAUUUUGGGUUUUUUAUCGCAGUGAGUGUGUGUGUUCACGUGUGAUUGGGGAAUCCUCCCGAGAUCCCACACCCCUUGACCCUACCUCUCCACUGAGACAAAACAGCAGCUGGCUUCACCCUUUUGUGGAUUUUGAAGAACUGCUGUUACUUUCCUUUUCGGCUCCAUUGUACCAGUAGGGCUUAGUUAUGGGUGAGGAGUUACAGGAGUUGAGGGAGCUGGUUGCACAGUUAAGAGCGGAUAAUGAGAGGAUGCGCUAGGAGCAGGAUGUUAAUGCUCCUGAUCCCAGCUCUGCAGCCCCUAUUACUGCCAUGGUUAAUGCCCCUGUAACUGAGCGACUUAUUGUUGUAGCUGGAGUUCGAAAAUGUCCCAUGUUCUGGGGUAGAUCAGGUAUAGGGCUCAUAGAGUGGCUUUAUGAGGUGCAGGCCUGCAUGAGGGCACGCCACUUGUCUGUUUCGGAUCAGGCCUUCUUCUUGUUUGACCAUUUGGAGGGAGAAGCGCAUGAAGAAAUAAAGCAUUGGCCCAGUACAGAGCGAGGUGAUCUACCAAAAUUAUAGUGGCAUUACAGUAGUU